rnacentral:rRNA from 1 species
ACGAACGCUGGCGGCGUGCUUAACACAUGCAAGUCGAGCGGUAAGGCCCUUUCGGGGGUACACGAGCGGCGAACGGGUGAGUAACACGUGGGUGACCUGCCCUCAGCUCUGGGAUAAGCCUGGGAAACCGGGUCUAAUACUGGAUAUGACUCCAUGACGCAUGUUGUGGGGUGGAAAGCCUUGUGCGGCUGAGGAUGGGCCCGCGGCCUAUCAGCUUGUUGGUGGGGUGAUGGCCUACCAAGGCGACGACGGGUAGCCGGCCUGAGAGGGCGACCGGCCACACUGGGACUGAGACACGGCCCAGACUCCUACGGGAGGCAGCAGUGGGGAAUCUUGCGCAAUGGGCGAAAGCCUGACGCAGCGACGCCGCGUGAGGGAUGACGGCCUGGUGUAAC